AUUUUUUUUUAAAGAGGAAGGUUAAUGGACAUGCAUCUCAGUUAAUCUGAUUGAUUGCUUUCAACCUUGAGAAGAGGGUCAACAAAAAAGUUAUGGCAAUGUUCGAGAAAGCUGAAGAUGAAUACAAUGACUUAUUAUCCAAGAAAAACAUCAUUGAGAAUGAUAAGUCAAAAAUCAAGAAAGUGAUUGAAGAGCUUGAUGAAAAGAAGAAGGAAACACUAAAAGUUACUUGGGUUAAAGUGAACAAGCUGACAAACUAAAGAAGUCAAUGGAGGAUGGAAGUGAU